rnacentral:lncRNA from 1 species
UAUUAGGAGGAGAACAUGGAUUGUCCAACUCACUAAUGUGUCCAUAGAACUUUCUGCUGCUGGUACCCGGAUCUAAGUGGCCAUCAUGAUUAACAAUUUAAAAUAGACUUAACUGAUAAUUCGGUGAAAGCAACAGUUGUAUCAUCAUGCCAUGCCCAUGCUAUCAGAUAUCUCAUCGUAUAAGAUAACUAAAGUUCAUUAGAAUAUUGUAUCCUAGCAUUAACAGGUAGUUAAACAAGUGACACAAACAUUGAAUCACAGAGUUCUCUCGUCUAAAUAUGCAAAUAGAAACAGUAUCAUUCAUCACCAAUAUGUUUCUUUAGAUAAUUUCAUCACCAAUAUGUGGGAAUAAGAUGUACAUACAAAGAUAUAAUUAACUCGAUGCGAUGAAACAACCACUUCUAUCCACCUAUCACACAUUCAGCAAU